UGAGCAAGGAAAACAGCAAUGUUUGCUUAAAUACAGUACAUGCAUCUGAGUAUCUGAGUCCUGGGGACCUGUGAUGUUCUUCAGAUCCGUGUGUGAUGGUUGCCUCUCUUAAGAGAAGAAGAUCCUGCCAGGAUGAUCAGUGAGGAUAUCUGUGGCAAGAUGCUUGGAAAGAGCGUGCACAGAAGCCUUUCCGGAUGGUGUGGUGUGAAGGAAAACCACAGGCCGAAGAACUGAAUCAAAGUGUUGCAGCUGAAGAAAAAAGCCAAGAGACUUGGCACCUCUGUGUGAUGAAAUCCAUAUACUGGCUGUGGUUGCAGGGCUGAGCAAAACACAGAGCAGAUGAAGAGAUACAGG